CGAACGGGUGAGUAACGCGUAGACAACCAACCUUUUUGUGGGGGACAACACUUCGAAAGGAGUGCUAAUACCGCAUACGCUCCAGAUGCCGCCUGGUGUUUGGAGGAAAGGAGCUUUACGGCUUCGCAAAAAGACGGGUCUGCGUCUAAUUAGCUAGUUGGAGGGGUAACGGCCCACCAAGGCGACGAUCAGUAGCCGGUCUGAGAGGAUGGACGGCCACACUGGGACUGAGACACGGCCCAGACUCCUACGGGAGGCAGCAGUGGGGAAUCUUCCGCAAUGGACGAAAGUCUGACGGAGCGACGCCGCGUGAGUGAUGAAGGCCCUUGGGUCGUAAAGCUCUGUCAUCAGGGACGAACGGUCACGUCAGGAAAUGGGCGUGAAUUGACGGUACCUGAGAAGGAAGCCACGGCUAACUACGUGCCAGCAGCCGCGGUAAUACGUAGGUGGCG
rnacentral:rRNA from 1 species